ensembl:lncRNA
UCUUUUGUAAAAACUUCUGCAUUCCCACAACCUUCAGGAUAAGAAAAAUGGAUUACGGGCCAGGCAAAAUUUGACCAUUAAGCGUCCUUCAAGGAAUCCACAAGAUGCUGCAAAGAGCAUAUCUUAAUGGUGUGAUGAGUCCUUAAACACUUUCUUCAGUUUCUUCUCUGACCUUUUCAGAUUGUGAUAAAUUCUGAUGGUUUAUAUAUAUUUUUUUACAAGGAGACAUUUCCAUCCGGAGAAAAAUAAGCAAGAAGGAAGAUAAUUGACUCGAAGAGGAAAUCUUUCAUCAAAACCUGCAAAUGUGUUGUGGCAAGGAUAACUCAGAUAAACUGACAUGCCACACAGAAGAGGUUAUAUGACAGCUUCCAAACGCAAAACAAAUGUCAAAAAUGGCUGAGCCAAAAUGUUAAAUUGACAAGGGAACGAUUUUGCUCUAUGCAUUUUAACCACGGGGAAAGCAAGUGCUUCAACAAUCACUGGUUGAUAACAUCAACUUAAACUAUUAAUUUUAAGCUACAAGAGUGGUAGGAGUUUCAACAGUUGAUGGCUAGGAAAUUUAUUACAAUUUUGCAGUGGGCAUGGAAGAUAUUGGGUAUAGGUGAAUCAGAGUAAUUUCAGGCUCAGGUUACUCUAAAAAUGCCUACCAUGUGACACUUAAUACAUCACGCCAAAUUCCUCUAACCCCGCACACAGAAACGAGCAUUGUUAACAGUCAGUGAAAAGUGAGCUUGCCUGGAUCCACAGAAAACUCAAAUCCUAUUCUAAGUCAGUGAUUCUUCUGAAGUGUGGUCCUUAGACCAGCAGUAGCAAUAUCAUCUGGGAACUUGUUAGAAGUUCCCAGAAUCACCUGGGAACUCAGGCUGCACCUGGGACUUUUCGAAUCAGAGAAUCUGGGGUGGGCGCAACAAUCACCUCCAGAUGAUUCUGGUGCGUGCUAGAGUUUGAGAACUACCAUCUUGGGAAUGUGAGAAGGAGCCAAACAGAAAGCAAGAAUACGAUUCAGCGUUUCCAACGGAGACUGUGUCUGGGUCCACUCUCCACGCUUCCUCAUCCUGCUGUUGCCCCAGGAGGCUGACGUGUAUGCACUUGUACUUCAUCAACAACUUCCCUCGCCCUCUGGCUUCCAGGCCAUUGGGAUGAUCGUUUUUGAUCAAGAUAUUACCUCAACUUCUGCCAAAGACUUCUAUUCUCUGUUGCUUUCUGCUCAUUAACAUAAGAGCCUCUGCUCCCAAGCCAAGCUCAGGAUUUCCAAUAUUAUCACCCAAUUCAGCCAUAGUCCCUUAUUUCCACAUUUGUGAGUAGAGUAUCUGAUACUCUAUCAAUACAACUGGUCCAGUAAAGAGAAGAAAAUAUGAAGAACUAAGCUGGGGGAAUGGCAAGAAUGGAAAUCUAAUGUCCCUGGAGAAACCAUAUAGGAAAUUGCAGCGCAGGAUGGGAAGACUGGAAGAGUAAACCAUGAGAAAGUGGCACCUUGAGUGCAUCUAAGAAGAUACAAGGCCAUAGACAGAAGAACAGAGUUGUUAGUAAGAAAUGUAUCAUAACUGGGAGGAAGUUUGAUUGACAUUAAAGUUAGCCAAAAUGAAAAAACAAGGAAGGGGAAAGAAGAUUCACUGAAGCUUUCUCUAUGCCUGGUCCUUUGUUUGUUAUCAUUUAGUCCUCAGUGCCGCCAGGGGUGGUGGAUGGCAUUUUAUCGAUUUUAGAGUGGAAAAAAUCGUGGGGGAGAAGAAACUGAAACACCAACAGGGAACCAGCACAGGGGGAUGGACGUAAAAUUGAUCACAGAAGCCCCAGUCUGUGAAUAAGCCUUGGACGUUUAUAGGGUACCUACCCACCAUCCCUUUCUGUAGAUCAAGCAGACGCAGUGAGACAGCUUCAUGCUAUUGGUUGAUUGACUGUCUUGUUUGAAGGUGGGAGGGGCAUGAAGAGAACAGAAGAGAGGAAGACCAAGUCUAGCUACACUAUUUUACAUAAGGAAACCAGAGUAAUAAAUCAUGCUCUUAUGGGUGAAUUUUUGAGUCAUAAUAUAUUUUAAGCUUCUAUGUAUUCAUUACAGAAGCAGUGAGAUUUGCAGAGAAAAAUUCCAACAUCUAAACUUGAAACUGUGGUUCAUUUUUUUCAUCUCAUUCGCAAGGUUGAAUAACCACACACAAAGCAAAUAUCUUUAACACAUACCUUCUAUGUUUAUUUGCCUUCCCCAGAAAACUUGAAGCUCUAGGAAGCCAGUAAGACUAUCUUGACAUUUUAACACCCCUCCUUGUCAAAAUACCCGACUUUGAGUGGAAAUUCAAUAAAUGUGUGCAUUAACAAAUAAAUGAUUGGUCAAAGUAAA